GAUGAACGCUGGCGGCGUGCCUAAUACAUGCAAGUCGAGCGAACAGACGAGGAGCUUGCUCCUCUGACGUUAGCGGCGGACGGGCGAGUAACACGUGGAUAACCUACUUAUAAGACUGGGAUAACUUCGGGAAACCGGAGCUAAUACCGGAUAACAUGUUGAACCGCAUGGUUCAACAGUGAAAGACGGUCUUGCUGUCACUUAUAGAUGGAUCCGCGCCGCAUUAGCUAGUUGGUAAGGUAACGGCUUACCAAGGCAACGAUGCGUAGCCGACCUGAGAGGGUGAUCGGCCACACUGGAACUGAGACACGGUCCAGACUCCUACGGGAGGCAGCAGUAGGGAAUCUUCGGCAAUGGGCGAAAGCCUGACGGAGCAACGCCGCGUGAGUGAAGAAGGUCUUCGGAUCGUAAAGCUCUUUUAUUAGGAAAGAACAAAAGUGUAAGUAACUAUGCACGUCUUGACGGUACCUAAACAGAAAGCCACGGCUAACUACGUG
rnacentral:rRNA from 1 species